rnacentral:rRNA from 1 species
UACAGAGGUGGCAAGCGUUGUUCGGAAUUACUGGGCGUAAAGCGCGUGUAGGCGGCUCUUCAAGUCAGGCGUGAAAGCCCCGGGCUCAACUCGGGAACUGCGCUUGAUACUGUCGAGCUAGAGUGUGGAAGGGGCGAUUGGAAUUCCGUGUGUAGCGGUGAAAUGCGUAGAUAUACGGAGGAACACCAGAGGCGAAGGCGGAUCGCUGGGCCAACACUGACGCUGAGGAGCGAAAGCGUGGGGAGCGAACAGG